rnacentral:rRNA from 1 species
GAUGAACGCUGGCGGCGUGCCUAAUACAUGCAAGUCGAGCGAACAGACGAGGAGCUUGCUCCUCUGACGUUAGCGGCGGACGGGUGAGUAACACGUGGAUAACCUACCUAUAAGACUGGGAUAACUUCGGGAAACCGGAUCUAAUACCGGAUAACAUGUUGAACCGCAUGGUUCAACAGUGAAAGACGGUUUUGCUGUCACUUGUAGAUGGAUCCGCGUCGCAUUAGCUAGUUGGUAAGGUAACGGCUUACCAAGGCAACGAUGCGUAGCCGACCUGAGAGGGUGAUCGGCCACACUGGAACUGAGACACGGUCCAGACUCCUACGGGAGGCAGCAGUAGGGAAUCUUCCGCAAUGGGCGAAAGCCUGACGGAGCAACGCCGCGUGAGUGAAGAAGGUCUUCGGAUCGUAAAACUCUGUUAUUAGGGAAGAACAAAUGUGUAAGUAACUAUGCACGUCUUGACGGUACCUAAUCAGAAAGCCACGGCUAACUACGUG